rnacentral:snoRNA from 1 species
UUUCGUGAUGAAACGGCACUGGGCUCCGAAACCUUACAUGAGCAUGAAAAGCCACCUUGCGGCAGGCCUAGAAAACCUCGCCCCCUGAAG